AUUUACAUUUGAGUGAGUGGCGAACUGGUGAGUAACACGUGGGAAACCUGCCCAGAAGCGGGGGAUAACACCUGGAAACAGAUGCUAAUACCGCAUAACAACUUGGACCGCAUGGUCCGAGCUUGAAAGAUGGCUUCGGCUAUCACUUUUGGAUGGUCCCGCGGCGUAUUAGCUAGAUGGUGGGGUAACGGCUCACCAUGGCAAUGAUACGUAGCCGACCUGAGAGGGUAAUCGGCCACAUUGGGACUGAGACACGGCCCAAACUCCUACGGGAGGCAGCAGUAGGGAAUCUUCCACAAUGGACGAAAGUCUGAUGGAGCAACGCCGCGUGAGUGAAGAAGGGUUUCGGCUUGUAAAACUCUGUUGUUAAAGAAGAACAUAUCUGAGAGUAACUGUUCAGGUAUUGACGGUAUUUAACCAGAAAGCCACGGCUAACUACGUGCCAGCAGCCGCGGUAAUACGUAGGUGGCAAGCGUUGUCCGGAUUUAUUGGGCGUAAAGCGAGCGCAGGCGGUUUUUUAAGUCCGAUGUGAAAGCCUUCGGCUCAACCGAAGAAGUGCAUCGGAAACUGGGAAACUUGAGUGCAGAAGAGGACAGUGGAACUCCAUGUGUAGCGGUGAAAUGCGUAGAUAUAUGGAAGAACACCAGUGGCGAAGGCGGCUGUCUGGUCUGUAACUGACGCUGAGGCUCGAAAAGUAUGGGUAGCAAACAGGAUUAGAUACCCUGGUAGUCCAUACCGUAAAACGAUGAAUGCUAA
rnacentral:rRNA from 1 species